AGGCAGGUGUGGUCUAGAAGAUGAGGCUGCUGGGUCUUGUCCUGUGUCUGGUCACAGCUCUGCAAGGUGUCCUGUGCCAGGUGCAGCUUCAGGAGUCAGGACCUGGCCUGGUGAAGCCCUCGCAGACCCUGUCCCUCACCUGUGAUGUCUCUGGUUACUCCAUCACCAGUGGUUACUGUUGGAGCUGGAUCCGUCAGCCCCCAGGGAAGGGGCUGGAGUACAUAGGGCACAUAGAUAGUGGUGGUAGCACUAACUACAGCCCAUCCCUCAAGAGCCGAGUGUCCAUCUCCAGAGACACGUCCAAGAACCAAUUCUCCCUGCAGCUGAGCUCCCUGUCCACUAAAGACAUGGCCACCCAUUACUGUGCCAGACCCACACUGAGGGGACCUCAGU